rnacentral:rRNA from 1 species
UGAACGCUGGCGGCAGGCCUAACACAUGCAAGUCGAGCGGUAGCACAGAGAGCUUGCUCUCGGGUGACGAGCGGCGGACGGGUGAGUAAUGUCUGGGAAACUGCCUGAUGGAGGGGGAUAACUACUGGAAACGGUAGCUAAUACCGCAUAAUGUCGCAAGACCAAAGUGGGGGACCUUCGGGCCUCAUGCCAUCAGAUGUGCCCAGAUGGGAUUAGCUAGUAGGUGGGGUAACGGCUCACCUAGGCGACGAUCCCUAGCUGGUCUGAGAGGAUGACCAGCCACACUGGAACUGAGACACGGUCCAGACUCCUACGGGAGGCAGCAGUGGGGAAUAUUGCACAAUGGGCGCAAGCCUGAUGCAGCCAUGCCGCGUGUGUGAAGAAGGCCUUCGGGUUGUAAAGCACUUUCAGCGGGGAGGAAGGCGGUAAGGUUAAUAACCUCAUCGAUUGACGUUACCCGCAGAAGAAGCACCGGCUAACUCCGUGCCAGCAGCCGCGGUAAUACGGAGGGUGCAAGCGUUAAUCGGAAUUACUGGGCGUAAAGCGCACGCAGGCGGUCUGUCAAGUCGGAUGUGAAAUCCCCGGGCUCAACCUGGGAACUGCAUUCGAAACUGGCAGGCUAGAGUCUUGUAGAGGGGGGUAGAAUUCCAGGUGUAGCGGUGAAAUGCGUAGAGAUCUGGAGGAAUACCGGUGGCGAAGGCGGCCCCCUGGACAAAGACUGACGCUCAGGUGCGAAAGCGUGGGGAGCAAACAGGAUUAGAUACCCUGGUAGUCCACGCCGUAAACGAUGUCGAUUUGGAGGUUGUGCCCUUGAGGCGUGGCUUCCGGAGCUAACGCGUUAAAUCGACCGCCUGGGGAGUACGGCCGCAAGGUUAAAACUCAAAUGAAUUGACGGGGGCCCGCACAAGCGGUGGAGCAUGUGGUUUAAUUCGAUGCAACGCGAAGAACCUUACCUGGUCUUGACAUCCACAGAACUUUCCAGAGAUGGAUUGGUGCCUUCGGGAACUGUGAGACAGGUGCUGCAUGGCUGUCGUCAGCUCGUGUUGUGAAAUGUUGGGUUAAGUCCCGCAACGAGCGCAACCCUUAUCCUUUGUUGCCAGCGGUCCGGCCGGGAACUCAAAGGAGACUGCCAGUGAUAAACUGGAGGAAGGUGGGGAUGACGUCAAGUCAUCAUGGCCCUUACGACCAGGGCUACACACGUGCUACAAUGGCAUAUACAAAGAGAAGCGACCUCGCGAGAGCAAGCGGACCUCAUAAAGUAUGUCGUAGUCCGGAUUGGAGUCUGCAACUCGACUCCAUGAAGUCGGAAUCGCUAGUAAUCGUAGAUCAGAAUGCUACGGUGAAUACGUUCCCGGGCCUUGUACACACCGCCCGUCACACCAUGGGAGUGGGUUGCAAAAGAAGUAGGUAGCUUAACCUUCGGGAGGGCGCUUACCACUUUGUGAUUCAUGACUGGGGUGAAGUCGUAACAAGGUAACCGUAGGGGAACCUGCGGCUGGAUC